ACGAGGUGUGAUGAUACUUACCCAGCAUUUCUGCUAUUGGAUGAUGAAUAUAUAUACAUGCACUACCAUCUGAUCUCUGU
rnacentral:snoRNA from 9 species